AUUGAACGCUGGCGGCAGGCCUAACACAUGCAAGUCGAGCGGAUGAAGGGAGCUUGCUCCUGGAUUCAGCGGCGGACGGGUGAGUAAUGCCUAGGAAUCUGCCUGGUAGUGGGGGAUAACGUCCGGAAACGGGCGCUAAUACCGCAUACGUCCUGCGGGAGAAAGUGGGGGAUCUUCGGACCUCACGCUAUCAGAUGAGCCUAGGUCGGAUUAGCUAGUUGGUGGGGUAAAGGCCUACCAAGGCGACGAUCCGUAACUGGUCUGAGAGGAUGAUCAGUCACACGGGAACUGAGACACGGUCCAGACUCCUACGGGAGGCAGCAGUGGGGAAUAUUGGACAAUGGGCGAAAGCCUGAUCCAGCCAUGCCGCGUGUGUGAAGAAGGUCUUCGGAUUGUAAAGCACUUUAAGUUGGGAGGAAGGGCAGUAAGUUAAUACCUUGCUGUUUUGACGUUACCAACAGAAUAAGCACCGGCUAACUUCGUG
rnacentral:rRNA from 1 species